rnacentral:lncRNA from 1 species
GCAGCAGCAGGCCCCGCCGCCGGAACCGGAGGACAGCGGCGACGGCUUCUGGAAAGGAUGGUACGGCCACUCGAUCGUCAAGAUUACCCACUGCUGUCUGUUUUGAUUUCUUCUAUAACCUGCGUGGUCCGUUUUCAUCUGCAGUUGUGCUGCGAUUUGCUGCUGCUGUCUGCUCGACACGUGCUGCUGACACAAGAGUUCGUACCGCCAACACCAGGAUAUCCUACGAUGAUCGAUCUACAUCUACUAGGAGCUGCUCAUAUACAGUUUGUUUCUAUCGUACGUAGUAUUUGUGCUGUUCGGAUCGAGAUUUGUAUGACGGUGUUCGGUGUAGAUCACUGCAUCGAAUUGUACUAUUACCUCCGUUCGGAAAUAAGUGGCGCUGUUUUAGUUUAUAAAUUGUACUCCUAUUACUAGUUAAUUUUGCAUCUUGGUUUUGGCCUCUACUGUAUCAUUGAUAUUGUUAUCUGCUGUUUUCCUGCAAAAAGAAAAUUUGUUAUCGACAGUGGUCUUCAUUUUGUUGGCUACGAAUUACACGCAACACCAGUAUAUAGGGGUGGAAAGUGGUAGCGGAUAAUCUGAAAUAUCCGAUAUUCGUAUUCGAGAAAAUGCCUAUUCGUAUCCGAAACAUCCGCAUCCGAACCAAAAUGGAAAUGGAAAUUAUCCGUAUCCGAAUUUAUUAAACAAAUAAAAAAUAAAAUAUGGUAGGAGAUUUUGACACAAAUAUGGAUAUGGAAGUGGAUAUAUCCGUAUCCGAAUAAGAUUAUGGGAGGUAAUUUUUAAAAUUCUAGGUCCAAUAUUCCAAUUAUCCAACAUAAAAGCCAAAUAAGUGGUCAAAUUUUACUCUUUAUAUGAUUAAACUUAUAAAUUAUUAUGCAUUACAAUAGUAUUUAUUCAUAAACCUAUUUAUCAUUGACUUAUUGUAUGUCACAAGUUGAUUAUUUUAGGUCACAUAGCUAUUGACUAAUUUACUUAAGCAAUAUGUUGAUAUUAUUCGUAUUCGAUCCGAAUCAAGAAAAUAUCCGAUACGUAUCCGUAUUCGAAUAAUAUUCAAGCCGCAUCCGUAUCUGAUAACAUCCGUAUUCGGAUUCGUAUUCGUUUUGAAAAUAUGAAAAUGGAAGUGGUAAGAGCACUAUCCGAUCCGCAUCCGAUCCGUUUCCACCCCUACCAGUAUACCAGGAUUCCAGGCGACAUUCAGAGGUUUCUGAUUGUCUGGUCGAAUGAUUUGGUUCAUGCUCCAGAAUUGUUUUGUGUUGUUAUUUAAUUGCAUGUGUUACUUCCGAUGAUUUGCUUGUUGCAUAUGUUGCAAUUUCUCCAAUUAGUUGUUGCAAAGGGUUAUUUUUCUGACGCAUACAGUAAUUUUUUAUACCACAUGCACGUGUUUAGAAUGAAAAAUGUUGUCUCACGACAAACAUGUUGCAUGGGGUUUUUAAUUUAAAUGGAUGGUUUUCAGAUUGUGAAUUGAGUCAACGGAAAGGCUAGGGAGCUGGCCGGUUGGGUAAAAAUUUGGCCAAGCAUUGGCUUAAGAUACGUGAUUGCAAAUUAACUUGCUCCGUGGCGGUUAUGUUCACACAAAAAAAACUUGCUCCGUGGCGGGCCAUGGUGAGUGUUGAAUGUCAACUAUGCGUGGAUCGUCAAAUUUGACCAGCUAGCUAUCUCGGGAGACACAAUGUCGGAAAUGGCAAGAAUUAUUGUCCUCAUGCAAAAGAACAUAUUGGACACUGCCUUAAAAUAUUGAACUUCACCUAUUACAGAACUCUAAACCUGACCUGUUUCAUUGGGAGGCAUGUUAUCUGAUAUUGUCUUAACACAACAUCUAGUAGUGGAGCAGUUUGCUUGAAAGAGGUUUUUUUCUUUAAUAUGUGCUAUAGCUAAGCAAGUACUACCUCCGUCUGGGUUUAUUAGUCCCCUUUGUAUUUUAUGUCCAAAUUUAACCAUAGAUUUGACUAACAAAAUAUAAGUUGUUUGUCACAAAAGUUAUAUGGUUGGAUCCAUAUUCGAAAGUCGCUUCAAUGAUACUAUCUUUGUGGUGUAUAACUUAUUUUUGAUAGUUAAAUCAAAGGUCAAAAAUUGACCCAAAAUACAAGGGGACUAAUAAAUCAGGACAGAGGUAGUAUGUAUCUACUGUUGGUUGCUUCCUCGUAAUUCGUGCAUGAGAUUAGGCAUAAAGAUUUGUUCUGUAAUUAAGAAAAGUAGAUAAUAGGAAUACAUCGGUUUUCCUAUUUCACACAAGUAAUCCCAUACCUAUGGAAAAAGAAUCGCGAAUUUGAUUAACAUGAUGACGUGAUUGGUUCAUCGUGAAAAUCUGAGAGGCCCGGUGUGGAGAAAAGGGAGGGUUGGGGGAAGAGUGCACGUAAAUUUGUAGAUCCAAGCCUCCAUUGGUUCACAAAAUUAAAAAAUGCAGGAAAGAAAAAAAACAAAAAAAAUUAUAAAAGUGUAUGUGUAAAACAGAGGAUUGAGAAACAUGGAAUUUCGCAAAAUUGGGUAUUUGGUUCAAAUGAAUAGGAAAAACACAUGAAUCCUAAUAAAUAGAGUCAAGUCAAAGUCAAACCACGUGGAAAGGUAUAAUUAACAUGUUUAUUACGCUAUUAAGAAUCUCAAUUUUGUUCUGAUGGCAUGUUGACCGGGGAUCAUCUCCAAAUCCGCUAGAUCCUGAUGUUGUCCUCUUCGUCCAGCGUGAUUGAAGAAGAAGAAGAGUGCCGCCACAAGUCGCCAUAUGCACACCACACUCCAAGACACCCGCAUACUCUGCACAAGCCGACGCUGUUGGGCCGAAGGACGCGGCCGGGAAUCGUGUCCCGCUCCGGCCAAACGGGUCCUUAGAGGCUUUGAAAAAUUCUCACGCCACGCCUAGAAUAUUUCCAAGAGUUGCUUUGAAAACAGAAGCGCGCGCGUUCAGAAGUCUGAAAUUAGGAGGAGGGAGGGAAGCGGUUUCUUGUUCUGGACAACGACGAGGAGGAACCAAAGUAGCAGCCGUCUAGUAUACGUGACGCGAUUAAUCACGCAGAUGCGACCGGCCGGCGCCCCCCUGAUUUGUAUAGUACCGAGUAAAUGAGUGCCAGCUUUGGAUUACGCGUCCAAACAAUCCUAAUUAAUCCGGCAGCACUCCACUGGCAGCAUAUGCCUCGCGGCACAUAGGAUUAUAUAAAGCGCAGGGCUCCGGCGGAAGAACACAUCUCACAAAGUUCAGAUCAGCGCGCAGUGUAGUGUUGCCAAGUAUUUCGUGGGUGGCAUCGAUCGAGGAAGAGAGACACCAUGAGCUACCCGCCGCCGGGCACCGCGUACCCUCCGCCGGGCCAGCAGCAGGCGUACCCGCCGCCGGGCAACGGUUACGGCUACCCUCCUUCGGGCCAGGAGCAGCCGCAGCAGCAGCAGCAGGCAUACCCGCCGCCGGCGUACGGCGCGCCGCCGCCCGUCGCCGCCGACUACUACCAGCCCAAGGACGGCGGCGCGUACCCGCCGCCGCAGCAGCAGGCGUACGGCGCGCCGCCGCCCGUCGCCGCCAACUACUACCCGCCGCCCCAGCAGCAGCAGGCCCCGCCGCCGCCGCCGCCGGAGGCGCAGAGCCGCGGCAGCGACGGCUUCUGGAAAGGAUGGUAAUUCACAGACCACUCGUCUAACACGACACGUACUUGCGUCGUGCAUCAUGCCUGCAUGCAUACCUAACUCCAUUACCCGUAUUAGUAACUGUCCGUCUGAUCCCUCUGCAUGUUUUGUUUGUUCUGAUCUGCGUGCAGCUGUGCCGCAAUCUGCUGCUGCUGCCUGCUCGACAUGUGCCUCUGAUCGAUGUUGCACAGGAUGAUGAUCCACAUGCAGCUGCUCGCCAUCGAUCGGAUCGUCGUUUCCUUGGCACAUCUUGGAUUUGGCUUAAUUCUGUAAUCACCAUGUCGCUCAGUUACCAUACCAAUCAGUCGAUUUGCUUUGUUGCUUCUUUCUUAGCGGAACCCCUCCCUGUAAUUUGUUGGCCAUGAAUUGGAUAUGUCAAGUUAUUUUCAGCAUCCAGUACAUUCUCCAGUUGAGUUUUUGCCAUUGCGAUCAGAGAUGAAACAAAAAAUUGCUGUUCCCCGGAUGUUCCAAAGCAACCUACGGCAAUGCCAAGGGUGCCAAAUGUCAGACACCUCUUUUGUUUGUCCAUAGGUAGAAACGGCAAAUAUAAU